rnacentral:tRNA from 1 species
CGGGAAAUAACUCAGCCAGGAGGAGUGUCUGCUUUGGGAGCAGAAAGUCAUGAGUUCGAAUCUCAUUUUCCCGA